rnacentral:lncRNA from 1 species
AAAGAGAAGGUCAUUAUUGGUUCAAAAAUUGAACAAACAUUAAAAUAUUGAAUGAUAUGAUUUUCGAGUAAAAGGAGGCAAUAAAAACAAUUUGAUAUAAUUCGUUUUAGUUCAAAUUUGACCAUUCAUCAUACCUUCUAUGUAUAUAUAUAUAUCGAAUAUAUAAAGAUGUAAAAUAACAAUUAUGUAUAGCUAAAUUUUAAUUAUUCUAAUCGUGUUAGCAUUAUAUAAAAUCCAAU